rnacentral:rRNA from 1 species
UACGGAGGGUGCAAGCAUUAAUCGGAUUUAUUGGGCGUAAAGGGCGCGUAGGCGGAUAUGUAAGUCAGAUGUGAAAUCUUGGAGCUCAACUCCAGAACGGCAUUUGAAACUGUGUAUCUAGAGGGUAGGCGGAGAAAAUAGAAUUCCACAAGUAGCGGUGAAAUGCGUAGAUAUGUGGAAGAAUACCGGUGGCGAAGGCGAUUUUCUAGUCUAUACCUGACGCUGAGGCGCGAAAGCAAGGGGAUCAAACAGG